AGCUGCUCAGUAUGAAGAACACAGGUUCAAAAUGGUUGCUCCAAUGCACAGCCCUAAGUUGUAUUAAAUGCAUUGUGUUCUUUAAAAGUAAGAGACUUACGCAAUAGGGCUCCAAGAGUAGUUUCAGAAUAAACUGUAAGAGUUUUAUUCUAAAUUUAGUCUAAUAAUAUGGGUCAGUUGUGAGUCCCACAAAGCCUGUAUGCUUCCUGGCUCUGAAAGACCACAUUUUUACACCAAGCUGGUAAACAGCAGAGGGUGUGCAAUUUCAACCACCAUCCCCUGAAGCAAGAGCAAAUUCCAGUUUUGGCAUGUGGCCAUCAUCGGUUGCAGGUUCUGCAGGUCGAGUCACUCCUCUCCACUGUCUCCACAUGCUUGCUUGGCAUUCUAGAUUGUUUUGAGCUGAAGAUAUGAUUAUGGUAAAUGUGUUUGCUGCCUUCGGUAAGUAACUCUGAUAAACAUGGAGGCAUCACUGAGCACAAGGUUUUUCAUACACAACAAAAUGGGCAAUAUCCAGUAGAAGUUUUUAUGUCUUGGGAUAAACAUAAAUUCAUUUCUUAUGAUUCUUCUGUUUCUGGCAAUUGCAGAAACAGACUGCUUAACAUAAAGUUGCUGACAGUUAUAAGCAGUUAAUCGAAUGACAAAACUAUGUUUCCCACUGGCAUUUGUAAAUGAAUGCAUUUCUGUCUUGUUGUUAUGGGGCUGUUUGUGUCUUGUUUUGAAUUUGUUGUUUCUAGUCAGGGCAAGAGGAAUUUUCAUAUGUGAGCAAAGCAGAUAAUAGGAAGCAGAAAGCAUAAAGCAAAAAUAGCCAAUCAACUGGGAACACAAACAUUUUUAAAAACAAAAACCUGAAAGAAGAAAAGGGAAAAAAAGAAUAUAAUAUAAAAUAUCUCUGAAAAGACAUUUUCAGGACAAACAAGUAGUUUGAUGGGCUGAAGAGAGCCUCAAAUGGGAGAACUGCUGCCUUUUCUUCGUGUAUGGAGUUUACCUGUAGUUUGAAUGCAGCUUUACAGCAGGCUAUCACGGUCCAGAAAAAAUGCAGUUGGGUUUAUGGGUUAUUCUAAAUGGCUCUUCAAUCUGAGUAUGUGUGGACAUGGUUGUUUGUCCACUUUAUCUUUUUGAUGGACAUGUGACCCAGUACUCACUUUCUCUCCCAGUAACUGCUGGGAAUAAGUACCAGACUUCCUGUGUCCCUGCAUUGAUAAGAAGCUGCAAACAAUAGUUAGAUGGAAUAUAUUUGUAAUAAUGUUUGUGGGUUUUUUUUUUCUGUUAUUCAAAACCCUAACCCUAAUACUUUUGUAUUUUAGAAUAUUCCAUAAAUUCAAACAAAUGUGGAUUUUUAUUACAGAAAUCUAAUCAGGCCAAAGUCUGCUGACUUAACAUUUAACCAGUAGAUAGCCACUGAAAGGUAAGACUCAAAAUGGCAUUGCUAAAGAUUUGACUUCUCAGAGAAAGCUAGGUCCCAGCAUAUUAUUGGAAAAUUAAGUGGAAGGAAAAAGUGUGAUAGUAAAAGAUGCACAAACAACAGUGAUAACCAUAGCAAUAUGGUUAUAAUACCCAUUGUUGUUAUUGAAAACAGUGUUUGAAUUAUUACUCCUGCACAUUUUCAUUUUCUGAGACAGAAUUUUGGGCUUUUAUGUGCUAAAUCUUCCAGUGUCCUUUUUUUUGAUGGUGCAAAAAUU